rnacentral:rRNA from 1 species
AUGAACGCUGGCGGCGUGCUUCACACAUGCCAGUCGAACGGAAAGGCCCAAGCUUGCUUGGGUACUCGAGUGGCGAACGGGUGAGUAACACGUGGGUGAUCUGCCCUGCACUUCGGGAUAAGCCUGGGAAACUGGGUCUAAUACCGGAUAGGACCACAUUUUGGAUGGUGUGGUGGAAAGUUUUUCGGUGUGGGAUGAGCUCGCGGCCUAUCAGCUUGUUGGUGGGGUAAUGGCCUACCAAGGCGUCGACGGGUAGCCGGCCUGAGAGGGUGUACGGCCACAUUGGGACUGAGAUACGGCCCAGACUCCUACGGGAGGCAGCAGUGGGGAAUAUUGCACAAUGGGCGCAAGCCUGAUGCAGCGACGCCGCGUGGGGGAUGACGGCCUUCGGGUUGUAAACUCCUUUCGCUAGGGACGAAGCGUUAUGUGACGGUACCUGGAGAAGAAGCACCGGCUAACUACGUG